GGCUUAUUGAAAAUAAUUUUAAGUCUAUCUGCCCAAUGAAUUAAAUUUUAAUGGCUGCAGUAUAAUUAACUGUACAAAGGUAGCAUAAUCAAUUGUUUUUUAAUUAAAAACUAGAAUGAAAGAAUUAAUGAGAUAUAUACUGUCUCAUAUAUAUAAAAUAAAUUUAAAUUUUUAGUAAAAAUGCUUAAAUUAUUUUAUAAGACGAUAAGACCCUAUAGAAUUUUAUAUUUAUAUAUAAUUAAUUAUUUAAUUAUAAUUUAAAUAUUUAAUUGGGAGGAUUAAUAAAUUUAAUAAACUUUAUUUUUAAAAUAAACUUUAAUUUUAGAAUAUAUUAAUUGAUCUUAUUAUUAUAAAUUAAAAAAAUAAAUUACCUUAGGGAUAACAGCGUAAUGUCUUUUUAAAGAUCAUAUUAAUAAAGAUGUUUGCGACCUCGAUGUUGAAUUAAGAUAAAUUUUAGGUGAAGAUAUCUAAAUAUUAAGUCUGUUCGACUUUUAAAAUCUUACAUGAUUUGAGUUCAAAUCGACGUAAGU
rnacentral:rRNA from 1 species